rnacentral:rRNA from 1 species
GGUGAACGCUGGCGGCGCGCUUAAGACAUGCAAGUCGAACGGCAGUCUUCGGACUGUAGUGGCGCACGGGUGAGUAACGCGUAACUGACCUACCCCACAGUCGCGGAUAACGAUUCGAAAGAAUCGCUAAUACGUGAUGUGCUGUCAGAUUGUGUUCUGCCAGUAAAGAUUGAUUGCUUUGGGAUGGGGUUGCGUUCCAUCAGCUAGUUGGUGGGGUAAAGGCCCACCAAGGCGACGACGGAUAGCCGGCCUGAGAGGGUGGCCGGCCACAGGGGCACUGAGACACGGGUCCCACUCCUACGGGAGGCAGCAGUUAGGAAUCUUCCACAAUGGGCGAAAGCCUGAUGGAGCGACGCCGCGUGAGGGAUGAAGGUCUUCGGAUCGUAAACCUCUGAAUCAGGGACGAAAGACACUUCGGUGGGAUGACGGUACCUGAGUAACAGCACCGGCUAACUCCGUGCCAGCAGCCGCCGUAAGAC